UGCCAAUUGGCUGUGACUAGUCUAUGAACU
rnacentral:piRNA from 1 species